rnacentral:rRNA from 1 species
UACAGAGGUCUCAAGCGUUGUUCGGAUUUAUUGGGCGUAAAGCGUGCGUAGGCGGCGGGGUAAGUGAGGUGUGAAAUCCCGGAGCUUAACUCCGGAACUGCACUUUAUACUGCCUUGCUCGAGGGCUGGAGAGGAGACUGGAAUUUACGGUGUAGCAGUGAAAUGCAUAGAUAUCGUAAGGAAGACCAGUGGCGAAGGCGAGUCUCUGGACAGUUACUGACGCUGAGCACGAAGGCCAGGGGAGCAAACGGG